rnacentral:rRNA from 1 species
GGCGGACGGGUGAGUAAUGCCUAGGAAUCUGCCUGGUAGUGGGGGACAACGUUUCGAAAGGAACGCUAAUACCGCAUACGUCCUACGGGAGAAAGCAGGGGACCUUCGGGCCUUGCGCUAUCAGAUGAGCCUAGGUCGGAUUAGCUAGUUGGUGGGGUAAUGGCUCACCAAGGCGACGAUCCGUAACUGGUCUGAGAGGAUGAUCAGUCACACUGGAACUGAGACACGGUCCAGACUCCUACGGGAGGCAGCAGUGGGGAAUAUUGGACAAUGGGCGAAAGCCUGAUCCAGCCAUGCCGCGUGUGUGAAGAAGGUCUUCGGAUUGUAAAGCACUUUAAGUUGGGAGGAAGGGCAGUAAGCGAAUACCUUGCUGCUUUGACGUUACCGACAGAAUAAGCACCGGCUAACUCUGUGCCAGCAGCCGCGGUAAUACAGAGGGUGCAAGCGUUAAUCGGAAUUACUGGGCGUAAAGCGCGCGUAGGUGGUUUGUUAAGUUGAAUGUGAAAGCCCCGGGCUCAACCUGGGAACUGCAUCCAAAACUGGCAAGCUAG